UGGCUAGAGAUAGAGCACUUGGGUCAUGACAACAAUGUUCACUUUAAUUGGUAUUAGAACAACGACUCUCUAUUCAAGGAUUACCUUUACAGCAAUAACUAGAGCACAUUUCACAGCACCAAAGUUUGAGAGAAAUGUCAAUAAUUGGAAAAGAACUGAAGCCUGAACAAAGAGUUUUCUAAACAAACGGUUUACAGUUGACUCCUAAGUCGACUAACCACUCCAGUCAACUAAGGCUCAGCUCUAGUUAAUUAAUCUGCUUGGAGAUCCUGAUUUAGUUGGAUUACACUCUUUUAAGCCAACAUAAAGCUUGGAAUUAAGCUUAAUAGAUGACCAAAACCAAAAACUAGUUGCUCCUUGGUUUGAGGUUUUCUACAAGCCACUAGGUAGUCUAAGUUCCUACUAAAUUACAAACAUCAUCUCCCAAUGAUGUUGCCCCAAAGCGUGGAACUCUAAGAUUACAUUUCACUUGUUAUGCCUUACAGCUUCAUUGCUCCCACUAUUCAACCUUUUUGAUGCUUUAUGUUGCCCUCAAAUUUAUCAUUCGUCAUACCCUCAAUACUUUAGAUGUGCCAUGUCUUCGAAGGUUGCUUGGUGUAAACCAAAGUUCAAUAGUAGAAAAGUGCAACACUCAACAUUGGAAAAAUCUCAAAGAAAAUGAGACUAUUAGCAAAACAAUAACUUCAAUAAGCAAAUCCUGAUCCAAUAAAGAUAAAUAGGUGUUUAGAUUUUGUCUUCUUGCGCGUAACAUAGUGAUAGAGGGAAUGGGAGAUGCCAUAGGCUGAGUCCUCAAAACCCCCACUCUUCCAACUCUUUAAACAAGAUAAUUCUAGAAAAAAAAAAUCUAGAAUAGGAGUUUAGGUCAACCUAAACGGAAGUUUGUUUCUUCUCCAAAAAAAGCCCUUUAGUGUCAAAAUAAAAACUUACUUAAAAGAAAUUUUCAAUAGACUUGAAGUUCCUAGACUUAUUAACGAAUUCUUUCACCUCCCUGGAAUUCAUUAAAUGGUUUACAAACUCAUGUUGACCAUGACCUAACUGACUUUUCAUCUAGACUUAUCAUUCUUCCCUGGUGAAGGAAACUCAACUCCAUGCGAGUUGAUAUAUUAGCUGUUUGGCACUUUUCAGAAUAAAUCUACAUAAACUCUUCUUCACUUAUCCAUGAUUUUUCCCAGUCAGGUUUCCCCAUUUCACAAGUGAGAAUAUGAACAGAUCUGAUUUUCAUCUCUGGCACCUGGAUAACUGCUUCAAUAAUUUCAGUUUCUUUUCUGGGAAUUUAGUUUAAUAUCCCUCCUUGAAUAUGAAAAUAAACUAUACUAAAUAUAAGAGAUAUGUUUAAGUCUAGAGGAAGCUCCACUUCAUAAGCAUUUUAUUCAAAUUUGUGCAGUACUUUGCAUGAGCCUAUAUUCUUGUUUUGUUAAGUGUAAAAUACCGAAAAUAGGUGAAUAUUAAUAAGGGAAUUUUCCGGAAUUUUUGGAAAUUUUUCGGGAAUUUUUCGGAGCUCGUAUGGACGAGUUAACGGGGAUAAAAUUUGGGUUCCGGGAAAGCCUGUUUAGACUACCCAUUUAUGUGAGGAAAAGUUUACUUUUUCCUUUAUUUCUCUUUUAUUUCUUUUCUUUACUUCUUUUUCUUCUUUCCUCCGUUUUCUCUUCCUCGCCGAACCCACGCGCGCCCAACUCCUUCCCUGUGCCCUAACCGGCGCCGCACGAGCGAUUCCCCUUUUUGUUCCUCUCUUCCCCGAGUGCACAAGCCCGUGUCGACACUUCUUCAUCUUCUCCUUCUUCUCUCGAGCCAUCCUCCGCCGCCACAUCUUCUUCUCUUCUCCCAAGUGUCGGCGAUGCUUGCGCCAGCUGUGCCCUAGAUCCACCGCCGGCCGCAACACACAGAGCCGCUCUCUGCCGAUUUCCCUCCUCUGCCCUAGACGCAGCUUGCUGCCGUCGAACGGAGCAGCGCCGACUCGCGAUUUCCCUUUCUUCUUCGGCCUCCCCCGCACGGCAGAGCACCCCGGCAGAAUACUCCCCUCUUCUGAUCAGGAACCGUGCCCUAAUUUCUGACUCCUUCGCCAGUCUCCUGCCUCAGUGUCGCUGUCUCCCUGCCCUAGCAGUGAUCGCCGGGGGUAUUGGGUUACUUCGACGCGAACUGGAUCACGGGAGUGACCGCCAUUUCCAGUGGCCACCAGUACCCUCUACUCAUUUACACCGAGCUCUAUUUGCCACCAUAGAGUGAAGAAUUCCAACAACUCUUGGAUUUCAGUACAAACCAGUGGCUGUGAAUUAAGGACUUUGACGCGAGACGAGCAUCUCGAUGUCGGAUUUGGACAUUCCUAUUGGAGGCGGGU